GCAAGUCGAACGAUGAUGCCCAGCUUGCUGGGUGGAUUAGUGGCGAACGGGUGAGUAACACGUGAGUAACCUGCCCCUGACUCUGGGAUAAGCGUUGGAAACGACGUCUAAUACUGGAUAUGAUCACUGGCCGCAUGGUCUGGUGGUGGAAAGAUUUUUUGGUUGGGGAUGGACUCGCGGCCUAUCAGCUUGUUGGUGAGGUAAUGGCUCACCAAGGCGACGACGGGUAGCCGGCCUGAGAGGGUGACCGGCCACACUGGGACUGAGACACGGCCCAGACUCCUACGGGAGGCAGCAGUGGGGAAUAUUGCACAAUGGGCGAAAGCCUGAUGCAGCAACGCCGCGUGAGGGAUGACGGCCUUCGGGUUGUAAACCUCUUUUAGUAGGGAAGAAGCGAAAGUGACGGUACCUGCAGAAAAAGCACCGGCUAACUACGUGCCAGCAGCCGCGGUAAUACGUAGGGUGCAAGCGUUGUCCGGAAUUAUUGGGCGUAAAGAGCUCGUAGGCGGUUUGUCGCGUCUGCUGUGAAAUCCCGAGGCUCAACCUCGGGCUUGCAGUGGGUACGGGCAGACUAGAGUGCGGUAGGGGAGAUUGGAAUUCCUGGUGUAGCGGUGGAAUGCGCAGAUAUCAGGAGGAACACCGAUGGCGAAGGCAGAUCUCUGGGCCGUAACUGACGCUGAGGAGCGAAAGCAUGGGGAGCGAACAGGAUUAGAUACCCUGGUAGUCCAUGCCGUAAACGUUGGGCGCUAGAUGUAGGGACCUUUCCACGGUUUCUGUGUCGUAGCUAACGCAUUAAGCGCCCCGCCUGGGGAGUACGGCCGCAAGGCUAAAACUCAAAGGAAUUGACGGGGGCCCGCACAAGCGGCGGAGCAUGCGGAUUAAUUCGAUGCAACGCGAAGAACCUUACCAAGGCUUGACAUACACCGGAAACGGCCAGAGAUGGUCGCCCCCUUGUGGUCGGUGUACAGGUGGUGCAUGGUUGUCGUCAGCUCGUGUCGUGAGAUGUUGGGUUAAGUCCCGCAACGAGCGCAACCCUCGUUCUAUGUUGCCAGCGGGUUAUGCCGGGGACUCAUAGGAGACUGCCGGGGUCAACUCGGAGGAAGGUGGGGAUGACGUCAAAUCAUCAUGCCCCUUAUGUCUUGGGCUUCACGCAUGCUACAAUGGCCGGUACAAAGGGCUGCGAUACCGUAAGGUGGAGCGAAUCCCAAAAAGCCGGUCUCAGUUCGGAUUGAGGUCUGCAACUCGACCUCAUGAAGUCGGAGUCGCUAGUAAUCGCAGAUCAGCAACGCUGCGGUGAAUACGUUCCCGGGCCUUGUACACACCGCCCGUCAAGUCAUGAAAGUCGGUAACACCCGAAGCCGGUGGCCUAACCCUUGUGGAAGGAGCCGUCGAAGGG
rnacentral:rRNA from 1 species